AAAGCAUGCAAUUUUGCUGCUAUAUUGUCAUCAUAAACUGAUAAUUAAGCGCCUAGCCAGUACGGGAACAAGCCCCCUGGUGAGCUUGUGAGAUCGGUUUCUUCAACCCAAAACUCGUGGUCUGCACUUGACUCAAGGAGCCAUGUACAGCUGGUGCUGCCCUUCCAGCUGUUCCAGUAAUGACAGGACCUGGGGCCAGGACCUGGGACCGGGACCAGCAGCUGGAUAGCUGACUGUCAUGACAGUGGCUCCAGACAUCAUCACACAUCAC